rnacentral:rRNA from 1 species
CGAGUCCUUUACUGACGCUAAAGCUCGAAGGUGCGGGUAUCGAACAGGAUUAGAUACCCUGGUAGUCCGCACGGUAAACGAUGGAUGCCCGCUGUUGGCGAUACAAUGUCAGCGGCCAAGCGAAAGCGUUAAGCAUCCCACCUGGGGAGUACGCCGGCAACGGUGAAACUCAAAGGAAUUGACGGGGGCCCGCACAAGCGGAGGAACAUGUGGCUUAAUUCGAUGAUACGCGAGGAACCUUACCCGGGCUUGAACUGCCAGCGAACGAUACAGAGAUGUUGAGGCCCUUCGGGGCGCUGGUGGAGGUGCUGCAUGGUUGUCGUCAGCUCGUGCCGUGAGGUGUCGGCUUAAGUGCCAUAACGAGCGCAACCCCUUUCUUCAGUUGCCAUCAGGCAAUGCUGGGCACUCUGGAGACACUGCCGCCGUAAGGUGUGAGGAAGGUGGGGAUGACGUCAAAUCAGCACGGCCCUUACGUCCGGGGCUACACACGUGUUACAAUGGGUGGUACAGAGAGCCGGCCGUCCGCAAGUGCGGUCCAAUCAGGAAAGCCAUCCUCAGUUCGGAUUGGGGUCUGCAACCCGACCCCAUGAAGCUGGAUUC